rnacentral:rRNA from 1 species
UACGAAGGGUGCAAGCGUUAAUCGGAAUUACUGGGCGUAAAGCGUGCGUAGGCGGCCUUGUAAGUCGGAUGUGAAAGCCCCGGGCUUAACCUGGGAAUGGCAUUCGAGACUGCGGGGCUAGAGUUUGGGAGAGGGUGGUGGAAUUCCCGGUGUAGCGGUGAAAUGCGUAGAGAUCGGGAGGAACAUCAGUGGCGAAGGCGGCCACCUGGCCUAAAACUGACGCUGAGGCACGAAAGCGUGGGGAGCAAACAGG